GUAAAUUAAGAGAGAAGGGCUCCUAAGCUAGAGAGAGAGAGAGAGAGAGUCACGGCCAGCCAUGGCAGCCACCUAGUGAAGCUCACGGCCAGCUCCUCCCCCACCUUCUACACAAUUGAGUUGAUGAAUUUCAAGUCCAAUUAGAGAAAAAAAAAUAUAAAGAUUACAACAGCCAUGGCAACUCACGACCAUGGUUGAUCUUGAGGGAGUCCAAGUUCUUGUUAAUAAAAGCUUAAGUUCUAAGGUGAUUUAAACAUUCCAAGGUGAUUAGUCACGUGAAUUAAUCCAUUGGGGGCAGCAAGAACAUUUGUUAUUUGAAGCUACAGAUUUCAGCAACGUUAAGGAGCCAAGCUUGUUAAGGUUGAGACACUUCAGACAGCGUAUACGUAUCGUAUCACGGAUAAGCGUUAAAGGUACGGAUACCAGGUUUGGUGAUCUUCCAGCUUAGGACUUCUACUCAGUUGUCUUGGAAGAGCUCCAUUGUUCCGGAGCCCAGACUUUUGGUACAGAUCUUUUGAUGUAUAUAUAUGUUUAUCCAGGGGUACGGCGGGGCCCUGUCCCGUCAUAAUUCACUAUCGAUACUCUUAGAGGUCUGUAGACAUAUGUGUGGGUUGUGUAUAAGUUUGUUCAGCUGUGUCUAUACGAUGUGCUUUGGAUAUGUUCGUCUGUAGUGGCAGCCUUGUCGGCUUGCGUAUCAUAUUGACAUGUAAUGGCAGCCUUGUCGGCUUGUGUAUGGUAUUGAUAUGUCGUGGCAGCCUUGUCGGCUUGCGUAUCAUAUUGACAUGUAAUGGCAGCCUUGUCGGCUUGCGUAACAUAUUAUAUUUUGAUUAGUUAUGACUCCUCAGGAGACAGG